UGAUGACUGAUCUCAAACACUAAGG
rnacentral:misc_RNA from 1 species